rnacentral:rRNA from 1 species
UGGGGAAUCUUGGACAAUGGGCGCAAGCCCGAUCCAGCGACGCCGCGUGGGUGACGAAGGCCUUCGGGUUGUAAAGCCCUUUUCCCGGGGACGAUGGUGACGGUACCCGGGGAAUAAGCACCGGCUAACUCCGUGCCAGCAGCCGCGGUAAGACGGAGGGUGCUAGCGUUAUCCGGAAUUAUUGGGCGUAAAGAGCUCGUAGGCGGUUUGUCGCGUCUGCCGUGAAAGUCCGGGGCUCAACUCCGGAUCUGCGGUGGGUACGGGCAGACUAGAGUGAUGUAGGGGAGACUGGAAUUCCUGGUGUAGCGGUGAAAUGCGCAGAUAUCAGGAGGAACACCGAUGGCGAAGGCAGGUCUCUGGGCAUUAACUGACGCUGAGGAGCGAAAGCAUGGGGAGCGAACAGGAUUAGAUACC